GGGUCAGUAGGUUGGUCGUGCCACCGGUACGUACUGGUCUCACUGAUUCCUCCUUCCUGAAGAACCGUAAUGCCAUUAAUUUGGUGUUGCGGGGAAAUAGGAAUGUUACUUUGAAAAAAUUAGAGUGUUUAAAGCAAGCUAACGCUUGAAUACAUUAGCAUGGAAUAAUGAAAUAGGACGAUCGAUCCUAUUUUGUUGGUUUCUAGGAUUGACGUA
rnacentral:rRNA from 1 species